GGGCCAGUAGCUCAGCUGGUAGAGCACACCCCUCGCACGGGUGGGGUCAGGGGUUCGAAUCCCCUCUGGUCCA
rnacentral:tRNA from 1 species